AACGCAUUAGUUCUAGUAGCUAUGUUGACCAUGACGUUACUAAUGUCAUUAGUUUAUAUGGUGACAACCGUGUAGCUGUUGGCUUGGAAAGUUUUUUUUCUUCUCAGUCACAGACAGCUGAUGUGUUGUGAACUGAAAUCCACAAGGGGAGGGAAACAGUGAAAGGAGGAGAAGGAAUUACUCAACAAACACAUUUUUCCCGCUUUUUGUAGGUGACUGCUAUGAAAGUGCAUUGUUUUAGUGGGAUCAGGGUUGAAUUCAUUCCGCGAAUUCUGUUUAAAAUCAUUUCUUUAAAUGGUAGCAAACGAAACGGGGAUAAACAUACCGGAAUUUGUCCCAAAGAAACUCACGUUCGCAACUGUUGGACUAACGAGUACACACUAGAUACGCUUAGCACACAACCGUGAGACAAGGACAUUUCUGGUUGCGACAACCAAUCAUAUCUCCGUCUGCAACCAAGAAUUGCACUCGCCAACCAAUCCAAGACACCAGUGCAACCAAGUGGUAACCAAGAAUUAACCGAUGAGGUUAUAGCUAUGGCGGGACCUUUAAACUCUAGAAGAGGACAAUGGAAAAAAAUACUGUAACCCCAGGGUCGUCACAAUACGUUUCUUCUCAGGAAAUUUUGUUCGGGAGUUAUUUAUUUUCUGAAGUAACGUUAGCUAUGACGGGAUAUUUAAACGCUAGAAGAGGACCAUGGAAAAAUAUAUUUCCUCUCAGCAGACACGGAGCCCGGGUUCAGAAAACUGCCAAAUGGAAGCCUUGUCUUAACGGACAGUAAUGAUUCUAGGAUUUACAGGACAUAAACUACUAAAAGAGUGUGGAGCCAGGCUGUGUCUCCAGGCAAUGUGGUGGAAUCAGCCAGGAGGGCUGUACUGCUCAGAGGUGGCAACCCAACAAGCAGGGCACAUUUGCUGGGUCAGCAUGAGAUACAGUUUGGCCUUUAUAAGGAGCAGUCUUUCAAGUGGGUGGUUGAAAAUGUGCUGGGCUGGGCUGGGUAUUUGGUGGCAUCGAUGCAGAAAGAAUCUGCCUCUCAGCCAGCGAGGAGUGAUUUCAAAAACCAUGCUGCUAAUAAGAUGGCUUUCAAGGAAUACAUGGAGCUCUUCCACGAGGGCCGGGAGGCUAUCAGGAUUAAGUCCACCACCCAGCCAUUCAAAGACCAGAUGCCCACUGGUUCCCAGAGGUCCUCAACAUCCUCACUCAGGUCAUUGCUGGUUGGACAAUUACGCCCCUCCCAGAAUCUCGACAGCACAAUAAGGAAGCUCAUGUCUCCUCGGAAGGUUCAGCCUACCCUUCCAGCCUCUGAGCCUGAUGAUGGUGAGCUCCUUAUGGCAGCAGAGCAGCUUGAGUCAGACGUGCCGUGACCAAUGGAGUUACAAGUAUCAAGUUAUUACAUAUAGUACUCACUGCUCAGCCUCUUUAAGUCUCAUUCUACGUGUUUGUGUGGUGUAUUUAUAGUGAUGACUUACAUCAUUUAAAAUGUAUCAGGCCUACACAGUAUGUCUCAUGUGAUAUGAGGACCUGUCCUUGGGGAAUUUAUCAUCAAUACAUUAUUUAUUGUGUUGAGAUGUUGUCUUUUGAUUUCAGAGAGCGACGUAGUAUGCCUUCCCAAGGAUUGGCAAUGCACUUUGCCUGAUGUGGACCAUAAGUGGGUGUCCAAGGCAUUGUUCGGGUGGUCGGGGAAUAGGAUUCCAGAGAUGGACUUUGCCAGGGUUGACAAAAUGUGGUGGGACGCCCCUCCACCACCCCUCAUCUGCAGCUCAGCACCGGUGAUGGAGAGGUACUUUGUCCAUCCUCUGCUGCUCUGGAUGCCCAGGAAGCUCUGGCAGGUGAAGCUGUAUUGCCCAGAUCUUACUAUCUGGCAGCAGAAUACCUUCAAUGUCCCAAGUGCAGUAGGAAAGUCAUCAGUUGGAACCACAGCAUCCUUUCCCAGCUGGACAUAGGCCACAGCAUCCAGUUUCCCUGCAUUUUGACAGCUAAACCCGUCUGUGACAUCAAGGUAGUUCAUCUGAUGAGACAGCGAGGUCUAGGGAACAGCAGCAGCCAUAUACAAAAGAAGGUGGAGGAACAAUGCAGUCCUCGGCUGCAGAGGACUAUCCCUUAUCUGACUGACUGCAAGCUCUACUCCAGUGCAGUCAGUGUUGGACUGGUGACACUAGUAGCAUUCAAGAGCCCCCCCCCAACAUCUGUGCCCAAGUACCGCUGGCUAAUACACCCAGGAUGUCCUGCCCCAACUGGAUGAGGUCAAGGCCAGCAUUACCUCCCACGGUCCUCAAGAUUGACUCAACCAAGAAGGUAGUAAAUAAGUUGGCAAGCCACAGUGCCAAAACUGCUGUGUGGGCCACUAAUGUGGGAAAUGAGCAUGGACAAGUCCUCAUGUCCGUGCUCACAGCCAGUGAGGGCAAAAGGACUGGGCCCUAUGGUCGAUGGCCUCAUCAAAAAGUAUGCGGAUGCUGGAAUCACAACACCUUCCAUCCUGUAUGUGAACAGGGACUGUUGCGUAGCAAGCCACAUUCAGAAGAUGUUCGCUGCCUGGCCACAGCUGAAGAUAGAGCUGGACAUGUGGCACUGCAUGAGGCGCAUUGCAGUUGGUUGCAACACUAACUCUGUCUCAGCCAGUGCAUUUUCCAGUACGACCAGGAUGACCUAAAAGCACUGAAGGAUGCAAAACUAAAAGAGCUGGAGGCAAAGCUCAUGGGUCCAUUAGAUGCUGAUGUCAUGCGUAACAUCACUCGGAGUGAGCUGGCCCUGCACUGCCGAAGAACCACACGUGGCACAGAGGAAACCCAGGCUCUGAUCACUGAGCUCAUCAAUGGCUGAUGGUGAGAAGGGGCGUGACUCCUUGGGUGUGCCUCUGAUCAACUCCUGCAGGAUGGAGGACUUCCCCUGCCCACAUACAGAUGUGCCAGAAGUUCCACAUCACUAGAAUGCUUCCAUCUUCACCUGAACCGAUUCCUCCCAGGGAAAAACGCAAUCAAAACAAUUCACUUUUAAUGUACAAUUACUGUUGUCUCUGUUUGAACUGGUGGUUGUAUUCGAAUGUACCAACCUUGUGAAUUUAUAUUUCAGGUACACUAGCCAGUGAUACCUUCUAUCAGACGUACCUGGUUGAUGGAUUGGCACGGUGGAAUCAGGACCAUGCUGUUGCUGCUACAAGUGACAGGAAGGAGCCACACUCCUACAGUGUCAUCCUUCGUCACACUGCCAACACCCUCAGGGAGGAUAUGCUUGGAAAGAUUAUGGUUCCUUACACUGUUCCAGGCAAAUACACUGAUGUCCAAGGGGAGGAUGAGGGCUUUGUUGAAUUUCAGGACCUGACAGUUCCAGUGCUGGAGACAGCCCUGCCUCUUGGCACCUUUCGUCCUAUUCCCACCCCCUCUACCAGCAUCCAGUCCUCAGCUGCAUCAGUCAGUCCCCUGGCUUCCACUCUUGUACGUGGUACUCCACCACCUGGGCCUCUGUCCUCUACACCUGUGCUCGCCAGUCCAUCAGUCAGUCCCAUCCUCCACUCCUGUAUGGGCUACUCCCCCCACAGGCAGGCAAGAGUGUGCAAGGCAAUAUUGAAUGUGUCGCUGUCUGUCGCCUUGGCUGUGUUUGUAAAUUCACUCUGGAAUGCCAGAGUCUGCUCAGUGCGCUCUUGGGUGUUUGUAAAUUCAGAGCGUUGUCAGAUUGUCCGUUCGUAAAAUUCAGAGCGUUUUGCUCCCGUAGCGUUUAAAACACACACUGGACGCUCUGGCCAAAUAGUAGGUUUGAUCCGAGCUAGCGUUCUGACCUCACAACAGCAGCACCCAAGCUAACUGACUGAAGUUGGCUAGCUUGCUAAUGAGAGAACACAAAUGAGAGAAUACCUCACUCUGACCAUUUUAUUCGCCCUAGCAGAGCUGGUUAGGCUGCUUUCAUGUUAUCUAGUACGUUGACUGUAACUGCGGCUGGCAACAAUUUACUGACACCCGUCAUAUUCAACAGGUGUUGCGUGUUAUUAAAUGAAUGUUACCCCUUGAUUUACUCACAUUUCUCUUGACCUGUGCAUCUAUACUGAACAAAAAUAUAACGCAACAUGCAAUAAUUUCAAAGAUUUUACUGAGUUACAGUUCAUAUAAGGAACUCAGUCAAUUAAAAUAAAUUCAUUAGGCCAUAAUCUAUUGAUUUCACAUGACUGAGAAUACUCUGUUGGUCACAGAUGGAUAAAAAAAAGUAUCUGUCAGUAUCUGGACCUCAUGCAGCAAGACACAUCUCCUUCGCAGAGAGUUGAUCAGGCUGUUGAUUGUGGAAUGUUGUCCCACUCCUCUUUCCAAACUUUUGACUGGUACUGUAUAUAUUUUUGUUCGGUAUACAUU